GACGUAGGGCGCGAGCGUUUGUCCGGAUUUAUUGGGCGUAAAGAGCUCGUAGGCGGCUUGUCGCGUCGACUGUGAAAACUCGGGGCUCAACUCCGAGCUUGCAGUCGAUACGGGCAGGCUAGAGUUCGGGUAGGGGAGACUGGAAUUCCCGGUGUAGUGGUGAAAUGCGUAGAUAUCGGGAGGAACACCAGUGGCGAAGGCGGCAUCCUGGACCGAUACUGACGCUGAGGAGCGAAAGCCAGGGGAGCAAAGCGGG
rnacentral:rRNA from 1 species